rnacentral:tRNA from 2 species
CAAGACGUAGCUAUAACAUAAAGCACUCAGCUUACACCUGAGAGAUAUCUGCUAUCAACAGAUCGUCUUGA